ACUGAUCUCAUGACUUGCAAUUUUGAUCAAAUUGUGAAUUGUAUCUGUCCCUUUUUCAGCCCAAGAUAGAUAUCCUUGUUGCCUCCCAGCACAUGCAGAAUAAUGCAAGAUGUUCUGUUUUACAGUACAGUGUAGUAUAAUACACUUGGCUUCCAGCUCAGAGGGAUGCCAGCUCCAGUCGGAGAGAUGCCAGCGCUGAGCAGACACACCCUGACCAGACUGAACCCCUUGUAGCUGCGGGCAAACCGAAAGAAAACGGCCUUGACGCCAGGCGACGUCUCGCCGCACACUGACUGACACGUUAAUAUUCAGCAGAACGCAACGCCAGCCUCGAGGGCCGCCGCUAAUCUCAUAUCCAUGAGCAGCGAGGGCAACGCGAUAAUGAUCCACCUCUGAACCGGACAGUAGAGAGCAAUAAAACACACCCACGUCCCGCACA